UCCCAUCUUUUGCACAUACAAGUAACAAGUUUUCCUGCACCGUACUACUUAAGUUUUUCUUAAAAUGUUCAAUUAAGGAAUUUUGCAUCUUUAAUUGUAUAUUGUUACAAGGGGCUAUACUGUGGCAAAACUGGGGAAACUAAUGCAGGAUCAAUGCUUGUUUCUUUUUAUUUGUGUAAUUUCAUUACACUCCUUUCUCUUUUUGCUAUUAGGUAGUCACAAAUCUACUAAACAAUGAACAUUGGUCUGAGACCAAUAAAAAUUUAACCUUUCUGAUGUAAUUAGGAUUUGUUGGAUUUGAUGAAGAUAGUGGAGAUGAUGACAUUGAUAGCUAUCAUAUUGAAUAGUAUUUGUUUUUAUUUUAUUAAUUUGGUUGUAUCAUAUACUUGAUCAUACUUAGUUUUUUUUUUGGAUCAUGCUUGAAUUAAUGCUUAGUUUUGAUUUUUGAACAUGAUAUAAAUUGUGUCGGAGUAUUACAAUAGUA